CGGGGUAUGGCGCAGUUGGUAGCGCGCUUCGUUUGGGACGAAGAGGUCAUGGGUUCGAGUCCCGUUACCCCGA
rnacentral:tRNA from 1 species